CAUUAAAGUCGAGUUGGCUUAGGGAUACGUUCGUUGGGUAGGGGAGCGUUCUGUAAGCCUGUGAAGGUGUGUCGUGAGGCAUGCUGGAGGUAUCAGAAGUGCGAAUGCUGACAUAAGUAACGAUAAAGCGGGUGAAAAGCCCGCUCGCCGGAAGACCAAGGGUUCCUGUCCAACGUUAAUCGGGGCAGGGUGAGUCGACCCCUAAGGCGAGGCCGAAAGGCGUAGUCGAUGGGAAACGGGUUAAUAUUCCCGUACUUGGUGUUACUGCGAAGGGGGGACGGAGAAGGCUAUGUUGGCCGGGCGACGGUUGUCCCGGUUUAAGCGUGUAGGUGUGUGUUCCAGGUAAAUCCGGUU
rnacentral:rRNA from 1 species